rnacentral:rRNA from 1 species
UAAGGAAUAUUGGCCAAUGGACGCAAGUCUGAACCAGCCAUGCCGCGUGCAGGAUGACGGCCUUAUGGGUUGUAAACUGCUUUUGUCAGGGAAUAAACCCUUGUUUGCGAACAAGGCUGAAGGUACCUGAAGAAUAAGCAUCGGCUAACUCCGUGCCAGCAGCCGCGGUAAUACGGAGGAUGCAAGCGUUAUCCGGAUUCAUUGGGUUUAAAGGGUGCGCAGGCGGACUGAUAAGUCAGUGGUGAAAUCCUACGGCUCAACCGUGGCACUGCCAUUGAUACUGUCAGUCUUGAGUAUAGUUGAAGUGGGCGGAAUGUAGCAUGUAGCGGUGAAAUGCAUAGAUAUGCUACAGAACACCAAUAGCGAAGGCAGCUCACUAAGUUAUAACUGACGCUCAUGCACGAAAGCGUGGGGAUCAAACAGGAUUAGAUACCCUGGUAGUCCACGCUGUAAACGAUGAUCACUCGUUGUUGGCAAUACAUCGUCAGCGACUAAGCGAAAGUGAUAAGUGACCCACCUGGGGAGUACGGUCGCAAGAUUG